AUCUGUUGUUCCCCUAUCGGAUGGGUGUGUGCUCUGGGAUGUUGGUGUAGAUAAGAAGAGGUCUGUCCGCUGACUGGUCGCUCAGCAUGCUGUGCCUGGUCAGGGCAGCCGGGCAGCAGCUGUGCCAGGCCUUUGCGGUCAGGGGACAGUGGUUAAAAUGUGCAUCCCCAUGUAGAGCUGCAGUCCAUGCACACAUGUACGGGAUCUGUUGGAGAGGUGACAAGAGUGAGCUGAAG